UCCGGCUCGACACCUUGUUCUCUCAGACCACGUGAGCGAACGAGUUUGGCGUGUUUGAGUCUGACUGGGAAAAAAGCCUUGAAAGUGCCGUUAAUGUUUUGCAUGGCGAGCUGCUGAAUACGAACCAGUCUCACACCAUUACCAUCACCUUGCCCUUGUGAAAGCAGAUAUGGAUAAAGUUUUCCAAGCUGAUAGAAAAUUGAAAGCACUCACAUCCUGUGACGAUGAUUCUGAUGUUGGUUCCUGGAAAGCCUCCAUGGUUGGAGGACGAGAAGCCGUAUCCAAUUGAAGCAGC